CAGAACAUGUGAGGUUGGAGGUCCUGCAUUGAUGAGGUCACAGCCAGAGCGGAUCCUGGGGCUGCCAGAACACCGUGUGGGGCCUGAGGUUGAAGCCCGCACAGAGGAGGGCAGAGGUAAAGGAUUUCGAGCCCCCGCCUCCUUGCAGCCAGGCAGGGCCAUAUACCACGUCUGGGUGGAGCUGUGAGCAGGAAGCUUCUUCAGUGAAGAGUGGGUUCUUCAGGAAGUGUUAUCAAUGGGAGGGCCUUGUGCCACCUCCUCUAUCCUGCUGGUUCUGACCCAGAUCAAUGAAUGGCUGGUGGCCCAGGAGCUCCCUCGAUGGUAAUGAGGACACCACCACAACCCAGGAGUGGGGGACGGACUCCAGGUCCCUGACGACCGGGCCGUGCAAUGUCCUUCCUGUGAGUUCAUUUCUGCUUCAGGGAGCCCGCGCCCACUCCUCGUGCGUCCCACCAGGGAG
rnacentral:lncRNA from 1 species